rnacentral:lncRNA from 1 species
GGAUUGCUCACCGGUGACUCAGUGGUUGACUCAAAGGCUAGAGGGUGGUUUGGGGGUGGAGGCAGAGGUCCAGUGAGCUGGGCUCCACCCUUUCUCUCCCUGCAGUCCCAACUCCAUUUUUAUCUGUGCUAUAUGUUGGAGUCUAGCCAAGAUGUCAUUUGAACAAAGAUUCUGAAAGAUCAAAGAAAAAAGUUUGAAAACCACCAGGACAAUGCUUUCAGGGGACUUUAUCCAAAAGACUGCAACAAUGUAAAGAGAUACGAUUGCUUUUAUUACUGUGAUAUGUUUAAAGUAUUAUAAAUUUUUUAAGAGCUUUGUAAGUGACAGAAGUGAAGACAUGCUCAUUUUAAUGUUACCAGUCAACUCUGAGAAGACUAAAGGUCAAGGGACAAUGAAAAUGUGACCCUUACCAACGACAGAAACUCCCAGGAAGCCACAAUUAACUCAAGACCACCAGGAUAUUUGGGGAAGUUUAUCCUUCUGGAAACCAGAAUUUCUGAUUUGUGGAAAAUUCUAUAGAUAUUCUCUGCCAGACUCCAGCCUAUUUGAUGAAACAAUUGAGGCCAAAGAGAUAAAGUGACAGCCACCAUCAUCCCAACUAAGUUGGAAGGCCAAAUGACAAAAGGAAACAUAAGAACGCAAUUACCUGAAUGACAGAUUAGAACUCAGGGAUUAUUUCUUGAUCCAGGCUUAGUCAAUGGAAGAGCUGGGACAUGAACGCAGGCACAGUUGGUGAACAGUAGAGCCAGGAUUCAGACUCAGGCAGCCUGGCUACAGGGCCUGUUUUCUUCAACCCCAUGGCAUCCUGCCUCUUUUUUUGGGGGGGGGGGUGGUGGGGGUGGAGGGGUGGGGAUGGAGUCUUGUUCUGUCACCCAGGCUGGAGUUCAGUGAGUGGUGCAAUCUCGGCUAACUGCAACCUCCGCCUCCUGGGUUCAAGCGAUUCUCCUGCCUCAGCCUCCCAAGUAGCUGGGACUACAGAUGCGUGCCACCACACCCAGCUAAUUUUUGUAUUUUUAGUAGAGACAGGGUUUCACCAUGUUGGCCAUGAUGGCACGAUGGUCUCGAUCUCUUGACCUCGUGAUCUGCCUGCCUCAGCAUCCCAAAGUGCUGAAAGUGACAGGGUAAGGAUUUGAAACUCAGGCCUGCCUGCCUGUCUCCAACCACUCAGUCUUUUCUUCAGCCACCCUGCGUCCGUUACAAUUCACACACUGUUUGUCACCACUGGCUAAUGGCUUUGGAUAUUUCUUCCUCUUAUCAGUGUGAGACAUCUGGGGAGGCUCCCCUUUUUUUCACCAUUUGAGGACUGAAAGUAAAUUUAGCUUCCUCAGCAGAAAGAAAAGAAGCUGUUUUGGAGGUUGGGAAGAGCUUUAGAAAAUGCGGCAUCACGUCUGUUGCCCCAUUUGAAGAAAGCAGCUCUGGAAAAGGCCUAGGACAUUAGUUGCUACAAAGUUCUAGAUCAUUCUGUGUGGUAAGUAUGCCAUCAUGCCCAUAGCACUCUUCUCUGUCCACAAAAUUCGUCAUAUACUAAUAAAGAAUGGGUGUCUUUGGACAAAGUCAAAGCAAGUUUGUCCAGAGUACUAACUAAGAAGAGACUACAGAGGGAAGCAAAAGGUAGUUCAGUGGCUGAAUUAUCCAAGGAAAGGCCUAGAAUUUGAGUUGUCAUAGACUGAGCAUCAAAGAUUAUGUCUUGGAGCUAUAUAGAACCUUUACUGCCCAAAAAAGAGAGACUAUGGAAACUUCAGUGCUCUGGUAAACAUUUCUUUGAUGCCUUACCAAAACAUAUGCCUUCUGAGCAUUUGAUAUGGUUUGGCUCUGUGUCCCCACCCAAAUCUCAUCUUGAAUUGUAUUCCCAUAAUUCCCACGUAUUGUGGGAGGGAUUCCGUGGGAGAUAAUCUGAAUCACGGGGUGGUUUCCCCCAUACUGUUCUCGUGGUAGCGAAUAAAUCUCAUGAGAUCUGAUGGUUUUAUCAGGGGUUUCCACUUUUGCAUCCUCCUCAUUUUUAUCUUGCUGCUGUCAGGUAAAGAAGUGCCUUUCACCUCCCACUGUGAUUCUGAGGCCUCCCCAGCCAUGUGGAACUGUAAGUCCAAUUUAACCUCUUUUUCUUCACAGUCUCAGGUAUGUCUUUAUCAGCAGUGUGAAAACGGACUAAUAUAGCAUCCGUUGUCCACUUCCUCCUUCCAUCAGUCUGCAAAAUUCCAUUUGGGGAUCCAUGUGGCUUCAGGGAAAUCAACUUUAUCAAUGUUCUCUGUUCCGUGGCAGCAGUGAUGGGUUCAGGGAUGGGCAUGUGACCUAAGCCAGUCCAAUCAGAGUGACUCUCAGGUCUUGCUGAAAGUGCCUGGAAACGAUGCCAUUUCCUUCCUGUUGGGCAUGAUGAAGGAAGCAUCUAGCCCCAGGAGCUCCUUCAGUCAUAUUAGGGCCUAAAAGGUGCCAGCCUUUGAUAAAGACACCAAAGGAUAUGAAAGAUAGCAUAAGACAGAACGGAGAGAUGGAAAGAAGCCAGAUCCUUGGUGAUAUUGUUGAGCCAACAGAUCAAGUUUGGCCUUAAGUCAGCCCUAAUUCUGUGCUUUUCAAUUAGAUAAGACAAUACAUGCCCUUUAUUAUUUAAGCCUAUUUGUGUUAGGAGUUCUAGUCUUUGCAAAUGAAAGCACCUAACUAAUACUAAUGUAGAUCUCUGUGGCCAUCCUUCUGGUAAAAGGAGAAGGCAGAGUCAAGGGUGACAUUACAUUUCCUGAAACUGGCAGCUCCAUCUCAUAGAAAACUCACGCAUUACUCAGUGAAAAAACGACCCCCUGUACACAAUAUCCACGUGGGAAACUCCUACUCACUCAUCAAGACCCAUCUCUAAUGUCCCUUCUGUCUCCUAGACUACAUUUACGUAAAAUUAAUCACUUCCUUCUGUUUUACUUCCAUAGAGGCAUAUUACUCAUUCUUUUAUGUAACUAUAAACACAGAGCAAUUACAUACAGCUCAAGGGCAGAGAAUGUCUUAUUCAUCCCUAAAUGCAUCAAACCCAGCACAAGCACAUAGAUGCUGGAUUCUCCAGGUUGCAUGGCCUUUAACAAGUUCUCUACCAUUCUGACCCUGUUUUCUCUCCUGUAAAAUAGGGCUAAUUGUAUAUGUCAGAGGAUUGUUGUGAAAAAUAUCAAUAACGGAAGCUACAGGAAUUUCACUAAAAUGUGUUUAAUUAUAGUAAAAUUAAAUUGAUACAUAAUUUUGUAAAUCUUCAAUAGUCUUUAGCUCAAUAUUGAUAGCCAAAAAUUAAGCCUGGAGGAUAGAAAUAACUUCUUAACUCUACAGUUGGAAAAGUGUGGGCAUAGAACUUGUCUUUGCCUUCUAGAUCAGGUCUGUGUUGGUAAAUUAGACACCGUGUGGCCUUUCAACAUCCAGGAGCAAGAUGGCAGGAGAAUCAUGCCAACAACUGAGCCAAAGGUAAGAAGCCAAUAUGAUAUGCAUUUGAUUCUGUUACGGAAAUCCACAUAAAAGAAGGCUGCCCAAGUAUAAAACCAACACAGAAGAAAGCAGAGGUAAGAGAUGGAAAAAGAAAUGAGUGAACCAGUGACAGCAAGAGACUGAAGAACAUCAUUUGAUUGCCUGGAAUCAGCUAAGCCUGAAGAGAAGCCUAACCCUAAGCUUUUCAGUUACCCAAGC